rnacentral:rRNA from 1 species
UCUAAAGAGACUGCCGAUGACAAAUCGGAGGAAGGUGGGGAUGACGUCAAAUCAUCAUGCCCUUUAUGUCCUGGGCUACACACGUGCUACAAUGGCCGGUACAGACGGACGCAAAGCCGCGAGGUGGAGCAAAUCCUAAAAAGCCGGUCUCAGUUCGGAUUGCAGGCUGCAAUUCGCCUGCAUGAAGUCGGAAUCGCUAGCAAUCGCAGGUCAGCAUACUGCGGUGAAUACGUUCCCGGGCCUU